GUAGGGAAUCUUGCGCAAUGGGCGAAAGCCUGACGCAGCCAUGCCGCGUGAAUGAUGAAGGUCUUAGGAUUGUAAAAUUCUUUCACCGGGGACGAUAAUGACGGUACCCGGAGAAGAAGCCCCGGCUAACUUCGUGCCAGCAGCCGCGGUAAUACGAAGGGGGCUAGCGUUGCUCGGAAUUACUGGGCGUAAAGGGAGCGUAGGCGGAUAGUUUAGUCAGAGGUGAAAGCCCAGGGCUCAACCUUGGAAUUGCCUUUGAUACUGGCUAUCUUGAGUAUGGAAGAGGUAUGUGGAACUCCGAGUGUAGAGGUGAAAUUCGUAGAUAUUCGGAAGAACACCAGUGGCGAAGGCGACUCACUGGCCCAAUACUGACGCUGAGGCGCGAAAGCGUGGGGAGCAAACAGGAUUAGAAACCCGUGUAGUCC
rnacentral:rRNA from 1 species